GAUGAACGCUGGCGGCGUGCUUAACACAUGCAAGUCGAACGGAAAGGCCCAAGCUUGCUUGGGUACUCGAGUGGCGAACGGGUGAGUAACACGUGGGUGAUCUGCCCUGCACUUCGGGAUAAGCCUGGGAAACUGGGUCUAAUACCGGGUAGGACCACAUUUUGGAUGGUGUGGUGGAAAGUUUUUCGGUGUGGGAUGAGCUCGCGGCCUAUCAGCUUGUUGGUGGGGUAAUGGCCUACCAAGGCGUCGACGGGUAGCCGGCCUGAGAGGGUGUACGGCCACAUUGGGACUGAGAUACGGCCCAGACUCCUACGGGAGGCAGCAGUGGGGAAUAUUGCACAAUGGGCGCAAGCCUGAUGCAGCGACGCCGCGUGGGGGAUGACGGCCUUCGGGUUGUAAACUCCUUUCGCUAGGGACGAAGCGUUAUGUGACGGUACCUGGAGAAGAAGCACCGGCUAACUACGUG
rnacentral:rRNA from 1 species